rnacentral:rRNA from 1 species
GUGCCAGCAGCCGCGGUAAUACGUAGGGUGCAAGCGUUAAUCGGAAUUACUGGGCGUAAAGCGAGCGCAGGCGGUUAUUUAAGUCAGGUGUGAAAGCCCCGAGCUCAACUUGGGACGUGCAUUUGAAACUGGGUAACUAGAGUGUGUCAGAGGGGGGUAGAAUUCCACGUGUAGCAGUGAAAUGCGUAGAGAUGUGGAGGAAUACCGAUGGCGAAGGCAGCCCCCUGGGAUAACACUGACGCUCAUGCUCGAAAGCGUGGGUAGCAAACAGGAUUAGAUACCCUGGUAGUCCACGCCCUAAACGAUGACAAUUAGCUGUUGGGAGAUUAAAAGCUCUUGGUAGCGUAGCUAACGCGUGAAAUUGUCCGCCUGGGGAGUACGGUCGCAAGAUUAAAACUCAAAGGAAUUGACGG